CCUCUUCAGAAUUUUGGGCAUGUACACCCAUACACCUGAUCACAACCAGAGAAUCCUCCCUUUAGCCUUCAAAGCACUCCACAAAAAUUCAAGUAAAAUUGUCCACUACCAUCUGUUUUUGAAAAGAUUAUAAAGAGGGACA